rnacentral:lncRNA from 1 species
GAGUCUGUUUCUAAAACGACAACGACAAAAAAACAAACAAGCAAAAAAAAUUUGAUAAUAAUUAAUAAUAAUUAAUAAUAAUAAUUGUAUUUCCAUAAGCGGUGUAAUUUUUUUUUUCCAGUGUAGCUGCAGCUCUGUUGUACAAUAGAGAACUUUUUAUAAUCAAGCCCAAAUGUGAUUCCUCAAAGAUGCUUUUCCCAAAUUUCCCCAUCCCAGCGACUCCAAGGUGCUUCGGAGAAGAGAGGAAAAAAAAAAAGAAACAAACCCCGAAGUUUCUGGAAAAUUCCCCCCGGAUCCGGUGGCAAUUCCUGGGUUUAAUUUAUUUUUUUAGGGGUUGUUUUUUUUUUGGAUAUUUUUGUCAUUUUAUUUCCCUUUUCCCGCUUCCUCUGCAGCCCUCGGGGUCAGAUUUUCCCGCUGGACGCGGAUUCGGGAAGGGGAGGAUGGGAAUUCCCUUGGGAUGGCUUUGGGAGGGAGAUCCUGUCCUGGAAAUUCGGGAAAUUCGGGAAAAUCGGGAUCUGCCAGCGGGGGAAGGGAGGUGUCCCGAGCCAGGCCGGGUUUGGAGCGGGAUUCCCUGGCUUUUCCAUGGGAUCGGGAAUUCGGGAUGAGCCCAGCGCUGCCCUCCGCAUUCAGGGAAUUCCCGGAAUUCCUGGGAGAGAGAGGAGAGAGCAGCGGGAUCUGGGAAUUCCCGGAAUUCCUGGGAGAGGAGAGAGCAGCGGGAUCAGGGAAUUCCCGGAAUUCCUGGGAGAGGAGAGAGCAGCGGGAUCAGGGAAUUAGAGGAGAGAGCAGCGGGAUCUGGGAAUUCCCGGAAUUCCUGGGAGAGGAGAGAGCAGCGGGAUCAGGGAAUUCCUGGAAUUCCUGGGAUUCCGGAGAGAGCAGCGGGAUCAGGGAAUUCCCGGAAUUCAGCGGGAUCAGGGAAUUCCCGGAAUUCCUGCCCGGUUUUUGGGACAGGGGGAUUUUUGGGAUGAAGCUGUUCCCCAGCCCGGGAUGUUCCCAGAUGGUUUUUAGGGACAGAGUCGGGGAUUUGGGGCAAUUCCAGGUCCAGGCUGGAGCUGUUCCCGUGGGAAUUGCCCCGUUCCAGGCUGGGAUUCCCUGGGGCUCCCUCGGGACCCCCGGAGCCAGGAAAAUCCCGUUUUCCUGGGAAUUCCUCCCCUUUGUGCCGCUGUUCCCGUCCCGACCCCACCGAACUCCCCCGGGGGGGGAAUCCCGGCCUGAUCGCGGAUUUUGGGAUUCGUUCUCAGCCGGAAAAGGCGGAAUUCUCCCCCAGGACAAAGCUGGGUUGGGAAAACCUCUGGAAUUUGCUCCUCCCAAGGUUUUCCCAAUCCCGGAGUUGGGUUUUCCCAUUCAUUGGAAACUCCGGGACCGUUCUGGGUCCAAACCCCUCAUUUUUGGCUGAACCGAGGCCCCUCAGAAAUGACAUUUUUAAACCAUUUUCUCCACAAUAAUUAACCCUCCCCACCCCGUUCCCUCCUGGCAGGAAAAAAUUCCAAUCCUGAAUUCCCAACCGCUGCAAUUCCCUGGAAUUCUCUGCCUUCCACCCCUGCCAUUCCCUGCUCAGGCCUGGGAUAAUCUGAUUUUUAAACGCCGGGAAAGCCCCAAACGGACGAGCAAUAAUUUCUAUUCCAGGUUCUUUUCCCCCUUCCCAAUAAAUCCUCCGGCAUUCCAGGCUGCUCUCCCGAG